rnacentral:rRNA from 1 species
GACGAACGCUGGCGGCGUGCUUAACACAUGCAAGUCGAGCGGAAAGGCCCUGCUUUUGUGGGGUGCUCGAGUGGCGAACGGGUGAGUAACACGUGAGUAACCUGCCCUUGACUUUGGGAUAACUUCAGGAAACUGGGGCUAAUACCGGAUAGGAGCUCCUGCUGCAUGGUGGGGGUUGGAAAGUUUCGGCGGUUGGGGAUGGACUCGCGGCUUAUCAGCUUGUUGGUGGGGUAGUGGCUUACCAAGGCUUUGACGGGUAGCCGGCCUGAGAGGGUGACCGGCCACAUUGGGACUGAGAUACGGCCCAGACUCCUACGGGAGGCAGCAGUGGGGAAUAUUGCACAAUGGGCGGAAGCCUGGUGCAGCAACGCCGCGUGCGGGAUGACGGCCUUCGGGUUGUAAACCGCUUUCGCCUGUGACGAAGCGUGAGUGACGGUAAUGGGUAAAGAAGCACCGGCUAACUACGUG